UACGUAGGUGGCAAGCGUUGUCCGGAUUUACUGGGCGUAAAGAGCGCGCAGGCGGUCGUUCAAGUCGCGUGUGAAAGCCCCCGGCUCAACUGGGGAGGGUCACGCGAUACUGAUCGACUCGAAGGCAGGAGAGGGUAGUGGAAUUCCCGGUGUAGCAGUGAAAUGCGUAGAUAUCGUGAGGAAGACCAGUUGCGAAGGCGGAUCUCUGGGCAGUUCCUGACACUGAGGCACGAAGGCCAGGGGAGCAAACGGG
rnacentral:rRNA from 1 species